UCUUCUUCUUCUUAAAUCCACCAUUAACAUCUGUUGUUGCUGCUUCUACAAAACUUCAACUUGAUAAGGUAUGAUAAUCAUUCUUCUUCUUCUUCUUAAAUCCACCAUUAACAUCUGUUGUUGCUGCUGUUUCAAUUAGAAAUCUUAAAAUCAUUCUCUUAAUUUAGUUAAGUUAAUUAAAAUCACUGUGUGUUUUAAUUUAGUUUCAUUCUUUUAAUUUAGAAAUUUCCUUUUAUUUAUUUUUGCGUUGAAUUCUUUCAUUUAAUUAAAUUACACUUGUUUAAUGAUCGAUAACGAGAGUUCUGAUUGAAAUCUCCUCCAUAUAAUCUGAUCAGUCAAUUAAUCAUGGUAGAAAGAGUUAAUCACUUAAGAAUUUAGUUUUUCGAUAUACUUUUAUUUGUAGGUUUUUUUUAUAGUGUCAGAUUAUAUUGUCACUUGAUGGUUCCUAAUGUAUUUUAGAUUCUAUAAAUUUCAUGUUUUAUAUUCCUAUUAAUGUUUGAGUUAACUGAUUUUUAUAAACUGACUUUGUAGAUGGAUCACAUUGAUGUUGAAAUCUCGAAACCUACUGUACUUUGUUAAUCAACCCCCUAAAAGAACAACAAAAGAUGAAACUCGAAACCUUAGCCUUACAUAUGAGACAUUGACACAUUGCAUAAGAAAAUGGGAACUUGGUGACGCCAAUUUCAACUGAUGUUAGUUUAACUUUAGAUAUCAUAAGUGCUUUGUCUGUUCACCAACUGUAAACAGCAAAACUGUAAACAACAAAACUGUAAACAAUAUUUUUUUUUCAAUCUUACAGAGUUUUUGUGUAUAAUCUUCUUCCUUUCAUUGUUUGUAAUUCUUCUUGUUCUCUCCAGCGAGUAAUCUUACUUGUUGCUUUGGAAUUCUUCUUACAGAGUUUUCAGUCUAACUCGUAACUUAUAUUUUUUGUCAGGCCUAUUUGAUUAUUUAGUAGAGAAAAUGGGAUCUAUAGAAACCAACCAAAGUCUUGUUGUUGAUGAUGGACUGGUUCAGAGAAGGUGAUCAUGGACUCAUGGUGUUGAAGUGAAGUUCUUUGUUGAACAAGCAU
rnacentral:lncRNA from 1 species